rnacentral:lncRNA from 1 species
GACAUCUGUUAAUUUCUACUCUUUGUUAAUAGGGUCCUGGAGAAGUAGUCCUUUGACUUUCAGGACAUCAUAAACAGAAGAAGGCAUUAGAAAUUUUUUCAAGAGAAAUUGCACAAGCAGGGCCUGACUGGAAUGGAAACUCAGAUGCCUCUGCCUGCCAGGAAUUCAGGCCACCUGCCUGCACCCAACUGCAAGAAGACUGGGGAAUGCUGGUGUCAAAAUGAGAGAGAACGAGCCAACCUGCAGAAUCUGCCACAGUUUCCUGCGUCCUUACAAAUUCAUUGUGAGAAUUCAGGCAAGGUAUUUAACCUCUCUACUAAUCCAUCUUCCUAAUACUUAACGUGAGGAUUUUGGACGCCAUGAAUUCCAAGAAUCCUUACAGUAAUACAAAUCUGUCCCUGAACUAGUUAGAACUCUGGCUUCUGGUGAUAGAACCUUACAUGAACUAGUGAAGGUCGGUGCAUGAUAUUUGUUGACUCUUAUAACCUAGAUGUGGGAAGAGUAAGGGUGCAGUUAGCUUUAGGAGUGUCCAGCUCGUCUGGCCUCUCACUUGCUCCCCUUUCUGUGUCUGUAUGUUAUUCUAUGAAGACCAGUUUCUUUGGGAAGCUGGAGAAGCAGCCAAGGCUUGUAUCCAAACUAUCUUGAAAUCAUAAAGGAAAAGAAUUCUUCUCUCCCAGAAUCAGUUUCUAAAGUUCCGAAGGCCUUUUUAAUUAGCCACGCUUGGUUUGUAUGCCGACUCCUGUGGCCAGAGGAGUGGAGUCUUUAACCAGAGAAGACACCUCACACAGGUAUGGCCAUCAGAUAAUUUGUUCUGAGGCAAUCAGGC